AUUAUGAAAAGCAAAAAAUUAUGGCGGUAUUUUAAGCUUCUCAGAGGAAUUUGCUCUUUAAUGGAUAAAACGCCAAAAUCUUACUUAAAUUUGUUAGUUCAAUUUGUAUACCACUAUAAAAACAAUUUAUAACUUUAAUUGUUUAAAUUUAUUAAAUUAAAAUAUAUUAAGUCAAGGUGCAGUAAAAAUUUAAGAAUGAAGUGAAUUACAUUACUUUUUAGUGAAAAAAAAUUAUAAUAAUACUUAGGAUUUGAAAGUAAAUUUGAAAUAGGAUGUCAAUUUGAAUCAAGCUCUAAAAUAUGUACACA
rnacentral:rRNA from 1 species